rnacentral:rRNA from 1 species
AUGGGAGGUGGGAGCAACUCCGGCAAGCCAGGCGCAUCAGAGGCGUUGAGCCUCGUGUUCCGCAUCACGACGGUGGGGCUGUCGCUGGCGUCGGCGAUCAUGACGGCGGCCUCGACGCAGAGCCAGUGCGUCCACGACGACUGCAACGGCGAGGCGACCGCCACCGUCUCCUUCGGCAACUACAACUCCUUCAAGUAUUCGGCGCUGGCCGACCUGCUGUCGGCGGUGCUGCAGGGCGUGGCGAUCUGCCUGGAGGUGGCGAGGAAGGACAAGGCAGCCAAGGUCGUGGAGUUCAUCGACAAGCUCCUGCUGGCGCUCACCUCGACGUCAGCGGCGCUGCUGCUGGCCGUCGACGACAUCACCUCCUGCGGGUCACCUCGCGGUGGCGGGCGCCGGCGCAGCAGACGCUUCUGCACCCAGGCCGGCAGGUUCUGCGGGAAGAUCCGAGCGUCGUCGGCUUUGUCCCUCGUCGCCGCCGUUUCCGUCUCCGUCACCGUCUACACCAGGCACAUCCCCGUAAGUUUUACGCUUACGCCACGGCUACGGGCUUCGCCCCCAGCCAGGGAAAUUCCAAUGAAAGGACACCCAACAGCACCGCCACCAAGUGUUAGGCCGAAACCGCCAAAACCGGAAUCACCUACCGGACCCAAGUGUGGAGAAGAACCAGGGCCGUGCACAGAUAUUGGGACCCCACAGCCACCGGUGAUGCCUCGGCCGUGCGGCGGAUGCACGACGCUAACAAUCCCGCAAGGCUGCGAGAUCGCCGAGCAGGUGGUGUCUCCGCCGUGCUGCGGAUGCCCGAGGCGGACGAUCCCGCAAGGCUGCGAGAACCCCGAGCCAUGCGGCGCAGCAUGUGUUUAUGUCCAUGAAUAA